rnacentral:rRNA from 1 species
UGCCUAACACAUGCAAGUCGAGCGAGAAAGUGGCUUCGGCCAUGAGUACAGCGGCGCACGGGUGAGUAACACGUGGAUAAUCUGCCUCACGGGUCGGAAUAACCUGCCGAAAGGCGGGCUAAUGCCGGAUACGUUUCCUUGGAUUGCGGUCUGGGGAAGGAAAGGAUGCUCGCAAGGGUGUCACCGUGAGAUGAGUCCGCGGCCCAUCAGGUAGUUGGCGGGGUAAUGGCCCACCAAGCCCAAGACGGGUAGCUGGUCUGAGAGGAUGAUCAGCCACACUGGAACUGAGACACGGUCCAGACUCCUACGGGAGGCAGCAGUGGGGAAUUUUGGUCAAUGGGCGAAAGCCUGAACCAGCAACGCCGCGUGGGUGAUGAAGGCCUUCGGGUUGUAAAGCCC